UACGGGGGGGGGCAAGCGUUGUUCGGAAUUACUGGGCGUAAAGGGCUCGUAGGCGGCCAACUAAGUCAGACGUGAAAUCCCUCGGCUUAACCGGGGAACUGCAUCUGAUACUGGAUGGCUUGAGUUCGGGAGAGGGAUGCGGAAUUCCAGGUGUAGCGGUGAAAUGCGUAGAUAUCUGGAGGAACACCGGUGGCGAAGGCGGCAUCCUGGACCGACACUGACGCUGAGGAGCGAAAGCCAGGGGAGCAAAGCGGG
rnacentral:rRNA from 1 species